AUUAUUUAAAAAAACAUGAUGUGUUAACAUCUGAGCAACGACAAGAUUAUCAAAAUUCACAUGUUAAGGCAAUUCCAGCUAUUCAUUUUGCCAUAAUAGGUAUACAGUAGUUCCUUUCCGUAGAAUUCAACACAGUUUUAGUUCGGCCAGAUCACUGAAUAACCGAAUUCAGUUUUCCAGUUACGCGCUCAGCAGACAUGAGUGCGGAGGUACAACAGAGGCAAAAAGGAUGCGUAGUGUGCAACUUGGAGAAAGAGGAGAGGCUUGUAUCACCCUGCGAAUGCAACAGGAUGAUGCACUUCAGUUGCACAAAGAACUGGCAGUCUCUUCCAUGCAGAAAAUGUACAAAAAGGAUGAACCGUCCGGAAAAAUAUUCACCUCGAACUUCCCUUGCUAGUCAAACUUCGACAUGAUUCAGAAUUGCAAGACAAUAUACAAUAAUAAAUGAUGGUACUGCAACCAUAUUGUGAAAGCUUAAAAACUCCGAAACUACAAAAUGGUCUAUAAAACUAGAAAAAUCAUACACAAACGAAGGCUGAAUAAACAAGUCGGAUGCAAAAUUAUCACGAAUAAAAUAACUUAAGAGACAACCUUAACAAUAAAGUAAGAAUUGCUAUUCGAUUGUCCUGCCGA